UACGAAGGGGGCUAGCGUUGCUCGGAAUCACUGGGCGUAAAGCGCACGUAGGCGGAUCGUUAAGUCAGAGGUGAAAUCCUGGAGCUCAACUCCAGAACUGCCUUUGAUACUGGCGAUCUUGAGUUCGAGAGAGGUGAGUGGAACUGCAAGUGUAGAGGUGAAAUUCGUAGAUAUUCGCAAGAACACCAGUGGCGAAGGCGGCUCACUGGCUCGAUACUGACGCUGAGGUGCGAAAGCGUGGGGAGCAAACAGG
rnacentral:rRNA from 1 species